rnacentral:misc_RNA from 1 species
UUAGGUGUGGCAAGCAGG